GUUGCUGGUGAAUAAUAGGACAACAAGCGCCAGUGAAAUAGUUGCUUCAGCACUUCAUGACAAUUGCAAAGCUGUUCUUGUUGGCGAAAGGACUUUUGGCAAGGGCUUAAUCCAAUCUGUAUUUGAACUUCAUGAUGGUUCUGGUAUUGUCGUCACAGUUGGCAAAUACGUGACACCAAACCACAAGGAUAUCAAUGGGAAUGGAAUAGAGCCGGAUUACAAUCGUCUUCCUGAUUUCAAUGAAGCCAGAGAUUACCUUUCAUGAUGCG